rnacentral:rRNA from 1 species
GACGAACGCUGGCGGCGUGCUUAACACAUGCAAGUCGAACGAAAAGAGGGAAAGAGCUUGCUCUUUCCGGAAUUGAGUGGCAAACGGGUGAGUAACACGUAAACAACCUGCCUUCAGGAUGGGGACAACAGACGGAAACGACUGCUAAUACCGAAUAAGUUCCAAGGGCCGCAUGGCCCAUGGAAGAAAAGGUGGCCUCUACCUGUAAGCUAUCGCCUGAAGAGGGGUUUGCGUCUGAUUAGCUGGUUGGAGGGGUAACGGCCCACCAAGGCGACGAUCAGUAGCCGGUCUGAGAGGAUGAACGGCCACACUGGAACUGAGACACGGUCCAGACUCCUACGGGAGGCAGCAGUGGGGAAUCUUCCGCAAUGGGCGAAAGGCUGACGGAGCAACGCCGCGUGAGUGAUGACGGCCUUCGGGUUGUAAAACUCUGUGAUCCGGGACGAAAAGGCAGAGUGCGAAGAACAAACUGCAUUGACGGUACCGGAAAAGCAAGCCACGGCUAACUACGUG